UUAAUAUGAGAGUUUGAUCUUGGCUCAGGAUGAACGCUGGCGGCGUGCCUAAUACAUGCAAGUCGAACGAACUUCCGUUAAUUGAUUAUGAGGUGCUUGCACUGAAUGAGAUUUUAACACGAAGUGAGUGGCGGACGGGUGAGUAACACGUGGGUAACCUGCCCAGAAGCAGGGGAUAACACCUGGAAACAGAUGCUAAUACCGUAUAACAGAGAAAACCGCCUGGUUUUCUUUUAAAAGAUGGCUCUGCUAUCACUUCUGGAUGGACCCGCGGCGCAUUAGCUAGUUGGUGAGGUAACGGCUCACCAAGGCGAUGAUGCGUAGCCGACCUGAGAGGGUAAUCGGCCACAUUGGGACUGAGACACGGCCCAGACUCCUACGGGAGGCAGCAGUAGGGAAUCUUCCACAAUGGACGCAAGUCUGAUGGAGCAACGCCGCGUGAGUGAAGAAGGGUUUCGGCUCGUAAAGCUCUGUUGUUAAAGAAGAACGUGGGUGAGAGUAACUGUUCACCCAGUGACGGUAUUUAACCAGAAAGCCACGGCUAACUACGUGCCAGCAGCCGCGGUAAUACGUAGGUGGCAAGCGUUAUCCGGAUUUAUUGGGCGUAAAGCGAGCGCAGGCGGUCUUUUAAGUCUAAUGUGAAAGCCUUCGGCUCAACCGAAGAAGUGCAUUGGAAACUGGGAGACUUGAGUGCAGAAGAGGACAGUGGAACUCCAUGUGUAGCGGUGAAAUGCGUAGAUAUAUGGAAGAACACCAGUGGCGAAGGCGGCUGUCUGGUCUGUAACUGACGCUGAGGCUCGAAAGCAUGGGUAGCGAACAGGAUUAGAUACCCUGGUAGUCCAUGCCGUAAACGAUGAUUACUAAGUGUUGGAGGGUUUCCGCCCUUCAGUGCUGCAGCUAACGCAUUAAGUAAUCCGCCUGGGGAGUACGACCGCAAGGUUGAAACUCAAAAGAAUUGACGGGGGCCCGCACAAGCGGUGGAGCAUGUGGUUUAAUUCGAAGCUACGCGAAGAACCUUACCAGGUCUUGACAUCUUCUGCCAACCUAAGAGAUUAGGCGUUCCCUUCGGGGACAGAAUGACAGGUGGUGCAUGGUUGUCGUCAGCUCGUGUCGUGAGAUGUUGGGUUAAGUCCCGCAACGAGCGCAACCCUUAUUACUAGUUGCCAGCAUUCAGU
rnacentral:rRNA from 2 species